rnacentral:rRNA from 1 species
ACGCUCGACACCUACGGGAGGCAUCAGUGGGGAAUAUUGCACAAUGGAGGAAACCCUGAUGCAGCGACGCCGCGUGAGCGAAGAAGUAUUUCGGUAUGUAAAGCUCUAUCAGCAGGGAAGAAACUGACGGUACCUGACUAAGAAGCACCGGCUAAAUACGUGUCAGCAGCCGCGGUAAUCUGAGCGGGCUGGCAAGGC